rnacentral:lncRNA from 12 species
CACAGCUUCAAGCAGAGCCUGAUUAAGUGGAGCUGCGUCGGGUAGAUGCCAAUCGCAGUCUGAUUUUAGCGGCCCAGAGAAGGCCUCUCUGGCAACCUCCAAAACUCAUUUUGCCUGCUUGAUGCUUAAAAUUUCUUGAAACCAACGCUUUCUUUCUAUAAUUACAGAAAAUUCAGUUUGACAAAUUCAACACUGAAAUCAAUAUGAAACACACAAAUAGCUACAUUCUUUACAGAGCGCUGCCAGACGCGGACUCUUCUUUAUCCUCAAACACUCCAAUAAGUUGGAUCAUUGCCCCCAAUUAUGAGGAGGGACCUGUGACUUGGAGAAGUUAAAUGACUUGUCUGAGGGCACACGAAGGUCACAGCAGAAGUGCCUCCUCUGUGAUCUUUCCACUAGAGCAGGCUCUUGCAUUAAAUACCUUACGAGGGAGAAAAAAAUAAAUACCUUACAGGGAGAAGUCCACAAUUGAAGUGCGGGCCGACCUGAGAGCCAGUUUGGAAAGGUGGAGAUGUGAGUGGGUGAGUUGGUUCAGCAGUCUUCCUGGGCCCAGCUCAGCUGGCACCCCGCCUCCCCCCCCCCAAGAUCCCCUCUCCUGCAGUGCUCCCUGCCCUGUUCCUGGCUCCUGGGCUGACCCCACCCGAGGCACCAGCUAACCAUCAGUGAGCUCACACUCCCUCUACACUUGCUGUGUUCAUCUCAUUCCAUGCUCGCAUUCCCUGCUGGGACUUGACCCCCAGUCUCCUUGGCUGAAGUCCUGGAAACUUGCCGCUUCCUUGCCAGUUCUCUUCCCCAGAAAGCUAAGCUCUGUUCCUUCUGCUCCCACCCUCAGCUGAGGUUUUAUUCUCUGGACAAAUCUGCUAGAAUUGAACACUGAUUGAUGCUUAUUCCCUCGGACUCCUGCUAUUGCAGGAAACUGCCAAUUCUUUCAUUCACUGGCCUUAUUUUUUUUGAGCACCUACUACAUAGAAGACACAAUCUGGCGUUGACUUCCCUUGGCUCUCAAGGGCUGGGUAACGUGAUGGACAGGAUUGUAUUACGAGAGGAAUUAAGGAGGAGAUGGGCUGCACACAUUGGUUGAUCCACAGUCUGUGGGUAAUGAACUGGGAAAAAAACUGCUGAUUGAAAAUUUGAAUCAUUAAAAGCUUUGAAAUCAACAGCUUCUUUCAGAAUUUCAAUCUUCUGUGAUUUGCUUAGAGGCAAUGCUGCGGUGGUCUGAGCCACAGGCCAAAUGGUCAAUCAAAAUGAUCAGGGUUUGCUCACGGCCUCCGUUGUUUCAGAGAUUAUAUUAAACACUUAAAAAAGCAGCAGUAACUCUUCCAGGGCACCAGAGUGGUCAUCGUGGUAUAGCACUCCCCGGACUUUCAUUGAUUUAAAAUUUGCAUUUCUCAUUAUUUGCAAAUGACCCUCCAGGUUCAAAAUAUAUUAUAAUUUGUAUUUUUGUUGAAGCA